UACGAAGGGGGCUAGCGUUGCUCGGAAUGACUGGGCGUAAAGGGCGCGUAGGCGGUUUACAUAGUCAGGCGUGAAAUUCCCGGGCUCAACCUGGGGACUGCGCUUGAUACGUGUAGACUUGAGUGAGGAAGAGGGUCGUGGAAUUCCCAGUGUAGAGGUGAAAUUCGUAGAUAUUGGAAAGAACACCGGUGGCGAAGGCGGCAACCUGGUCCAUUACUGACGCUGAGGCGCGAAAGCGUGGGGAGCAAACAGG
rnacentral:rRNA from 1 species